GGGGUUUUCUAAAGAAAAAAUGGUUAUGUAUAUGGUUGUCGUGACCUUGGCUUUGGGGGUUUUCCAAAAAAAAAUGAUUUUUUUUACUUUUCACCAGAAAGUAUUUCAUAAAUUACUUUUAAACCAAAACUAUUUUUUUUACUUUUAACCCAAAACUUUUUAACUUUUGCAAUCUAUACUCGCAACUUUUUUUACUUUCAACUUUGGUUCUUUAUAGUUUUCAUUUUCCGCAAAUUUUUCAUUUUAUGCUUGGUUCUAAAUUUUGUGACUUAACAUAUCGCAACGUGCGUAUUUAGUUUAACGUUUUUACGUUUCGUUCUAAAUUUUGCAAGUUAACACGACGCAACGUGCGUGUGUGGGUGGACAUUUUUACAUCGUCUAUUUUUUCCCGUUUGACAGGUUUAACAUAACGUGCGAAUCCUAAAUCGACUUAGUUAUAACUAAAGAAUCCCCGCCGCAUUGCGGCGGGUCUCAAUUCUAGUUAUUAUUAAUUAAAAUUAAAUGGAAAGAGACAAUUUUUUUAACAGCAAAAUAAUUUAUUCCGGAUUCAAACCUUCAAACUCUAAGAUAGAAAAGUGACACUUAUUAUAACACUAUAUCUUU
rnacentral:lncRNA from 1 species